rnacentral:rRNA from 1 species
GACGAACGCUGGCGGCGUGCUUAACACAUGCAAGUCGAGCGGUAAGGCCCUUUCGGGGGUACACGAGCGGCGAACGGGUGAGUAACACGUGGUGACCUGCCCUCAGCUCUGGGAUAAGCCUGGGAAACUGGGUCUAAUACUGGAUAUGACUCCACGGUGCAUGUCGUGGGUGGAAAGCCUUGUGCGGCUGAGGAUGGGCCCGCGGCCUAUCAGCUUGUUGGUGGGGUGAUGGCCUACCAAGGCGACGACGGGUAGCCGGCCUGAGAGGGCGACCGGCCACACUGGGACUGAGACACGGCCCAGACUCCUACGGGAGGCAGCAGUGGGGAAUCUUGCGCAAUGCGCGAAAGCGUGACGCAGCAACGCCG